CAAAAACAUCGCCUCUUGCAAAAAUCAAUGUAUAAGAGGUCCUACCUGCCCAGUGACUCAGUUAAACGGCCGCGGUAUUUUGACCGUGCAAAGGUAGCGCAAUCACUUGUCUUUUAAAUAAAGACCUGUAUGAAUGGUGAAACGAGGGCUUAACUGUCUCCCCUUUCCAAUCAGUGAAAUUGAUCUACCCGUGCAGAAGCGGGUAUAAUUAUACAAGACGAGAAGACCCUAUGGAGCUUUAGACACAAACCACCUACGUUAAAAAUUCCCAUAUAGAAUCUAAACAAAGUAGUAUGCUGGCCACAUGUCUUCAGUUGGGGCGACUACGGGGAAAAACAAAUCCCCCACGUGGAGUGAGAAACUCUCUCAAAACCACGAGGCACACCUCUAAGUCACAGAAUUUCUGACCAAAAGAUCCGGCUCCAGCCGAUCAACGAACUAAGUUACCCUAGGGAUAACAGCGCAAUCCCCUUCGAGAGUCCUUAUCGACAAGGGGGCUUACGACCUCGAUGUUGGAUCAGGACAUCCUAAUGGUGCAGCCGCUAUUAAGGGUUCGUUUGUUCAACGAUUAAAGUCCUACGUGAUCUGA
rnacentral:rRNA from 1 species